rnacentral:rRNA from 1 species
GACGAACGCUGGCGGCGUGCCUAAUACAUGCAAGUCGAACGCAGUUGGGACGGGUGAGUAACCCGUGGGUAACCUCCCAUCAGAGGGGAAAACACUUGGAAACAGGUGCUAAACCGAGACUAAUGGAUGGACCCGCUGUGCAUUAGCUAGUUGGGGAGGUAACGGCUCACAAAGGCCACGAUGCAUAGCGGAGCUGAGGGGGUGAUCGGCCACACUGGGACGGAGACACGGCCCAGACUCCGACGGGAGGCAGCAGUAGGGAAUCUUCGGCAAUGGACGAAAGUCUGACCGAGCAACGCCGCGUGAGUGAAGAAGGUUUUCGGAUCGGAAAACUCUGUUGUUAGAGAAGCGGUAUCUAACCAGAAAGCCACGGCUAACUACGUGCCAGCAGCCGCGGUAAUAC